UCCGGGAAACCGGGGGCUAAUGCCGGAUNACAUAUCGAACCGCAUGGUUCGAUAGUGAAAGACGGUCUUGNUGUCACUUAUAGAUGGACCCGCGCCGUAUUAGCUAGUUGGUGAGGUAACGGCUCACCAAGGCAACGAUACGUAGCCGACCUGAGAGGGUGAUCGGCCACACUGGAACUGAGACACGGUCCAGACUCCUACGGGAGGCAGCAGUAGGGAAUCUUCCUGCAAUGGGCGAAAGCCUGACGGAGCAACGCCGCGUGAGUGAUGAAGGUCUUCGGAGUCUGUAAAGCUCUGUUUAU
rnacentral:rRNA from 1 species